rnacentral:misc_RNA from 1 species
GUUAAAAUUGCCUUUAGUGGAGGCGCUAGCUAUUUCUAUUUUUGUAUUGAUGGUCGAAGGAUCUCUAGUUCCUUAAUUUGUCAAGCAUUUACAUGGAAAAUUCAUAAUAACAAAAUUUAGAUUGAUCUUCCCAGGUUGCUUCCUCAGGAGGUAAAUUAUGCCACUUGAUCAACCCUUGCAAUACAGGUUAUUGAUCUCAAGUAAUGGUCUUGGUCUGCAGAGCUUGCUUAGGUGCCACAUCCAUUUGAUCUUCCUCCAUAGUUGGUAACUCGGCUAAUGGAGUGACAUUAUUUCCCAACUUCCUUUGCAGCAUUGAGACAUGAAAAACAGGA